rnacentral:lncRNA from 1 species
AAAAUAAAUCUCACUUAUUAAGUAAUAUUGGAUUUUUCCUGUAGCUGCUAUUUUUGCUACUCCUAUAAGUAUCAGAAAUAGUUCUGCAACUUGGUAUCCAGAAGGGAUAUUGACCCAAAGAGCAGAUAUGAGCACAGACGUAUCCUUGGUUAGAACCCUGAUUCUUACACCAAACUGUCACCCCAUGGGCCUUUCUUUUAAGCUAAUAAGGUAAAGUGUGUGUGUGUGUGUGUGUGUGUGUGUGUGUGAGAGAGAGAGAGAGAGAGUGUGUGUGUGUGUGUGUGUGUGGUGUGUCAGGAAGGAGGCUACACAGAUAAAUUGUCAAGUGGGGCUCUUAAAAAUCAUAUGUGGUUCUGGAUUGAGAACUACAGUGUUAUCGGUCUAUUCAUCUUUUAGCGCUGCAGUAACAAAUGGCGACUAAUUUGGAGGAUUAAAACAACACAGAUUUAUUCUCUCCUAGUUCUAGAAGUCAGAUAUUUGAACUCAAGAGAUAGACAGUAGCCCACUCUCCAAAGGCUGUGAGGAAGAACCUUGUCUCACCUCUCCUGUCUUCUGGUAGCUCCAGGUGUUCCUCGGUUUGUGACUAUACUAUGGAAGACUCUGCCUCUCUGUCUAUAUUCUUCUUCUCUUUCUUACAAGGAUAUCUGUCACUGGAUUCAGGUUUUACCCAGAUAGUCCAGAUUGAUCCUAUCUCAAUACCCUUAACCCAAUUACAACUGUGGAGAUUCUUUUCCCAUACAAAAAGUCACAUUCCCAUGCGUUACAUAUCUGUUAGGGGACUACCAUCAAACCCUUACCAUUGGGUAGGUGAAAACAAAACAAAACAAACAAAAACCCAAGUCUUCAAAGCUAAAAAUCAAAGCAUUAGGUGAGGUUUUUAUAAUGCCCACUCUUUCUCCAACAUUGUCCUUGCCUGAGAUAUCUGGCUACAGCCUCAGCUCCCAACUGAAUGUUGUCCUGGACUGAAGCUCUGUUCUUGGCUCUGUGAUCAGGUUCCCCAUGUCAGUUCUCAUCUUGGCUUAACCUCUGGAAUAGCUCUUGGCUUAUCCUGAGAAACUAGUGUGACUCCAUUUUUAAAAAAAUAAAUAAAUAACAGAACUUCUACCUCAAGGCCUGUCCUAAGGAAGGGGACAUGACCAUUGUCCUCGGAAAAACCCACAGAGCACUCCUAAGUACAUACCC